rnacentral:rRNA from 1 species
UACGUAGGGGGCGAGCGUUAUCCGGAAUUAUUGGGCGUAAAGAGUGCGUAGGUGGCACAUUAAGCGUAUGGUUUAAGGCAAUGGCUCAACCAUUGUACGCCGUACGAACUGGUGUGCUUGAGUACAGGAGAGGGAAGCGGAAUUCCUAGUGUAGCGGUGAAAUGCGUAGAUAUUAGGAGGAACACCAGUGGCGAAGGCGGCUUUCUGGACUGUAACUGACACUGAGGCACGAAAGCGUGGGGAGCAAACA